UACGUAGGGGGCUAGCGUUGUCCGGAUUUAUUGGGCGUAAAGAGCGUGUAGGCGGCCAGGUAGGUCUGCUGUGAAAACUCGAGGCUCAACCUCGAGACGUCGGCGGAAACCAUCUGGCUAGAGUCCGGAAGAGGAGAGUGGAAUUCCUGGUGUAGCGGUGAAAUGCGCAGAUAUCAGGAAGAACACCCGCGGCGAAGGCGGCUCUCUGGGACGGUACUGACGCUGAGACGCGAAAGCGUGGGGAGCGAACAGG
rnacentral:rRNA from 1 species